rnacentral:rRNA from 1 species
UGCAGCAGGCGCGAAAACUUUACAAUGUGGGAAACCGUGAUAAGGGGACACCGAGUGCCAGCAUCAUAUGCUGGCUGUCCAGGUGUGUAAAAUACACCUGUCAGCAAGGGCCGGGCAAGACCGGUGCCAGCCGCCGCGGUAACACCGGCGGCCCGAGUGGUGAUCGUGAUUAUUGGGUCUAAAGGGUCCGUAGCCGGUUUGGUCAGUCCUCCGGGAAAUCUGACGGCUCAACCGUUAGGCUUUCGGGGGAUACUGCCAGGCUUGGAACCGGGAGAGGUAAGAGGUACUACAGGGGUAGGAGUGAAAUCUUGUAAUCCCUGUGAGACCACCUGUGGCGAAGGCGUCUUACCAGAACGGGUUCGACGGUGAGGGACGAAAGCUGGGGGCACGAACCGGAUUAGAUACCCGGGUAGUCCCAGCCGUAAACGAUGCUCGCUAGGUGUCAGGCAUGGCGCGACCGUGUCUGGUGCCGCAGGGAAGCCGUGAAGCGAGCCACCUGGGAAGUACGGCCGCAAGGCUGAAACUUAAAGGAAUUGGCGGGGGAGCAC